ACAUAUCAAAUGAGAGAAGGAAGUCCCUCCCAUCCCCAUCAGCAUUCCCCAACCCGGAGGAAUGUUUAUUCCGGCCUGUUCCCACCCCAGCUUGUAGCUAUGGGAACAUCAGUCCAGGAGAUGGUCCACUUCCCAUAAGACCUUACCAUGCCAUCAUUGAAGGCACAGACAAGAGGAAAGGAUCCCUUAAAGGCAGGAAGUGGAUGUCCAUCUUUAACAUUGGAGGAAGAUUCCCGGAUCCACGGCGAAGACACAAACCUUCAACCAAAAGUACAAAAUCUUCACAUAGAAAUGAGUCACAACAUUUAUUCCUACUAAGUUAAUUUCUCCUUUUCCAUAAACAGGUUUGCGUGUUGUUAACUUUAUUCUCUUUGGUUUGUUUUCUAAUUUCUUUUCACUUUAUGGAAUAGUAACAUUUAAACUGACAUUCAAACUCACAUACUUUUAAAUAUAAAUAUUUAAAAAUGUAAAUAUAAUUUGUUUGUGGUUUGGCACAUUUCAUUAAUGUACUUUUAGAAAACUGCAGUUCUCCCAUAGAUCAGUGCCAACAGCUUCUCUAUAUAUAUUAUCUCACUUAUCUUAGAAAUAUUUUUUAUAUUUUUUCAGCUCCAGAGAAAGAAAGGCCUGCUCUGAGACCUGCAAGAAGCAUGGACUCCCUCAGCUCCCCAUCCUAUCCAAAUGAAGGUACCAGGCGUUCUGGCCAGCGCCCUCCUUCCACCAACAUGUCUCCCCUUGUCACUACCACCCCUCAGGCUGUCUCUGAGCUCCCAGUAACUUCAGGUGGAUUAGGUGCCAGUGAAUAUGCUGUGACCUACCGCAGGGGAACAGGGCUAGUAAGCGGUGGUGCAGGCGUACAGGGUACCUACACAGCUCUUGAUCCAGAAGGUUUAGGAUUAGCAGGCAAUGAUACUGUCCAAUCCAGAUCUCCAGGAAUAUCCACUAAAGCUGGUCGGAGAGCAGCCAUGCACAUCACAGGACCCACCAUGGUUACUGUGCCACUACAUAUCACCUCUAACCUGGCUUUAGGGGUUCUUCAAGGGGGCGGGGCUGACAGGAUCAUACACCGUAGAGACAAAAACGGGGGAGACAAGGCGGGAGCAGAAAAGGCAGCGAAAAAGGUAAGCAGAGUAAUGGAAUGGAACGUGGAAGAAACCAAGAAGGAGGAGGAGGAAGUGAAAAGUCAAAAGGAGAAAAGCAGUGAAGAAGACGUGGAGACGACAGAGGAUUCGGUGGCAGCAGUUGGUGCUGAGGAGAAAACGGAAGAAGCAGCAGAAGAGAAAGGAGAUGAACCUAAGAGACAACGAGCCAAAAGCCUCCUGUCCAACUCAGAAGAAGAUAACAAAGGUGACGCCAAAAAUGCUGAACAAAAUGCUGAAGAUGAUGAAUAUAUGGAAAUGAAAGUUAGUGAGACGUCUAAGCUUCAGCCAGAGGACACUCAGCACGAAGAUAAUGGAGAGUUCGAUGCUUCUGAUGUUCUCAACUCAACAGAGGUGGCAGGCGACAACCAGAAUAUGUUUGGCUACAUUCAAGACAACUUUGAAUUCCUGGACCAAAUGGACUGCAGUGGAAUGGAACAUAUGGACUGCAGUGUCUCUUAUCAGGUGCAGGAGUUCUCUGUUGAACCUCCUUGUCACUCAGACGAUGAGUAUGAAACAAUGGCGCAAGCUCAGACUUCUCCUUGUCCUCCAGAGCCACAGUCACGCCUGCGUCCAGGCCCUCAAAGUCCCAGCGAGUCAAAUCCACACAGACCGCUCAGCCUUGACUUGCACAGUCGACACACAAAAUCCCUCAGCCUGCCUUACAUGACCUCGCCUGUCCACGGACCAGAUGAGUCUUCAUCUGAAGACGAGGCUAUGGGGGACGACAUUGGUGAUAACGAAUACAGUAGCGAGGAAGACGAGAGCAUGUUUGUUAAAAGCCUUCCACCGGAUUUCUUUUUGAACACAAUCUCUGGGUUGGAACUAGAAACCGAUGGACAAGAAAGUUCCCCUCAUGAUAGCGUUUCUGUGCAUUACAUAGAGAGCUCUGAAGAAAGAGACUGCCAGUCACUGAAAACUGAACAUUCGGCAUGUACAGAAACAACUACGGGAGAGCGGGAGCAGGUAGAAGUGAAAGACAGAGAAGAUAAAAAUGGACUGGAUGAAAAGGAGAUGAUAGAAAAACAAGAGGAAACUAAAGUUCAUCAGGAAGGAGACCAGCUGGAAAACGACAUGCAAAGCAGAGAAACAGAGGAACAUCUGGAUAUUAUGAAAGAGGCUGAAAGUGAAAUAGCCUCAACAACCUGCUGUACAGAGUUUCCACUGCCAGUCACCGAGGACACUGAUGAAUCCAGCAGUGUGGCUGGCAUGAGCGUUGAGGAGGUGAAGGAAGUAGUUGAAAUUGCUCACAGCGAUUGUCCAUCUCAGGAAAUGAUUAACCAGAAAGAAACUGAAUCAACAAAUCAUACCGGAAGCUGUAAUGGAGGGGGUACAACAGAGAGAGACAAUAAGGAGGGGGAGAACGGUGUGAUAUGCAAUGAAAUGGAGGACAUGUGCGAACAGUUUGUACUGAAAAUAGAGGAAAGUGACGAGAAAAUGAGGGAAGAAACCUCAGAGGGAAAAGCUGACAGAGAACACGACAGUAGCAAUGAGCAGGAUACCCAAAUCUGUGGGACACACAAUGACAUUUGGGAAGAACUUGAGGACAUUGUAUCUGAAGUGAUAGAGGAUGAGGAAAAGGCGCAGUCUGAGAGGGAGGGUGAUGUUGGGCAAGAACAUUUGGUAAAAGAUGAACAGGACGAAGAGCACGGAUCGAAGGAAAUGGUGGAAGACGACAAAGAGGAGGCGAAGAAGACGGAAGGUAGGAUAGAAGUAGACGGUGAACCAAUGGAGACGGCUGAAGGAGCGCUAACAAGUUUAGAAAUGCAACAAGAGUUUAAGGAAGAUGAGACCCAGAGAGAAACUCAUGAGAAGAUGGCCAGCAAGGAAGACUCUCAGGAACAUGUCACAGCAGAAGCGUUUUCAGAUCAGCCAGAGAAAGAGAACGAUGGUAAACAGACAGCUGAUGAGGAACUUGAAACUGCGCUAAGUGAAGAUAACCAAUUUAAAGAGGUGGGCUCUGAUAUGAAAGAGGGAAGAGAGAGUGAGAAGAGUGACGGCCACUUAGAGGGUGUCGGAAGCACGCUGGUCUCCUCACAGCCGAAGAUCUACCAAGUUAAAGCCGUGCCGGUUGUGCCUCCGAAGCCGCAGCACUGCAGAAUCACCGCCCUGACCAUCCGACAGCAGCAGCAGCAAAGAGAGAGAAGAGACGCCGACAGAGGGAGAGACAACGCGCUGAGAGUCCCAGGAGAGCAGGACAAGGACGGAGACCAGAGCGACGAGGGCUCUGAGAAAAAAGAGAGUCCAAAACUCAGGGGAGAUAGCCGGGAGAGAGAGGGGAGGAGGGACAGGGCCGAAGUCAGAAACAGUCCCCUCAGCAUGUGCUUUGAUGAGGCUGUGGCCAUUGCAACCAUGAGGCGAGAGAAAGAGAGGGUGAGAGAAGGAGAGGCGGAGGCAGAGGCGCUGGGGAAGUGA
ensembl:lncRNA